UACGGGGGGAGCAAGCGUUGUUCGGAUUUACUGGGCGUAAAGCGUGCGCAGGCGGUGAGCUGUGUCCGAUGUGAAAGCCCCGGGCUUAACCUGGGAAUGGCAUUGGAAACUGGCUCGCUGGAGUGUGGCAGAGGGGGGUGGAAUUCCGCGUGUAGCAGUGAAAUGCGUAGAGAUGCGGAGGAACACCGAUGGCGAAGGCAGCCCCCUGGGCUAACACUGACGCUCAGGCACGAAAGCGUGGGGAGCAAACAGG
rnacentral:rRNA from 1 species